AUGGUUACUGAGUUCAGAGAGGGAAUGGGUCGAGUCGCCCCCACCCUGACGGUGCUGCCCCCCUCCAGUGAGGAGCUGCAGCAGGGGAAGGCCACGCUCAUGUGCCUGGCCAACAAGGGCUUCCCCUCAGACUGGAGUCUGGCCUGGAAGGUGGACGGCAGCAGCAGCAGCAGCAGCUGGGAGGAGAGCAGGAGCCCCGGGGUGCUGGAGAAGGACGGCCGCUACAGCUGGAGCAGCACCCUGAGGCUCCCUGCAGACCAGUGGAGGAAGGUGGGCUCUGUGACCUGUGAGGCCACCCAGGGCUCCCAGGCUCUGGUCUCAGAGACACUGAGGAGAGACCAGUGUUCCCAGUUCUGACCUGACUCACUGGGACAUUG